UACGGAGGUGGCAAGCGUUGUCCGGAUUUAUUGGGCGUAAAGCGAACGCAGGCGGUUUCUCAAGUCUGAGGUGAAAGCCCCCGGCUCAACCGGGGAGUGUCAUUUGAAACUGGGUGACUUGAGUGCCGAAGAGGUGAGUGGAAUUCCAUGUGUAGAGGUGAAAUGCGUAGAUAUAGGGAGGAACACCAGUGGCGAAGGCGGCGACCUGGUCUGUAACUGACGCUGAGGCUCGAGAGCGUGGGGAGCAAACAGG
rnacentral:rRNA from 1 species